rnacentral:rRNA from 1 species
UACGAAGGGGGCUAGCGUUGCUCGGAAUUACUGGGCGUAAAGGGCGCGCAGGCGGCCUUAGAAGUCAGAUGUGAAAGCCCCGGGCUCAACCUGGGAAUGGCAUUUGAUACUCUGAGGCUGGAGUACGGGAGAGGAGAGUGGAAUUCCCAGUGUAGAGGUGAAAUUCGUAGAUAUUGGGAAGAACACCGGUGGCGAAGGCGGCUCUCUGGACCGUAACUGACGCUGAGGCGCGAAAGCGUGGGGAGCAAACAGG